GCGAAAGCGAGAAAGCGUUGCCGCAGGCAACGACCCGAAGGGCGAAGCGCGCAGCGCUGAGUCAUCCUUCCCCCCUCAUCC
rnacentral:sRNA from 1 species